GAAGACGGGGGCGGGGCUUAAAAAGGAAAGGCGCGGUGCGCAAAGCGUGAGGGAGCCCUGAGGAGCCGUGGUGGUGAGGCAUAAGGAGUGGCCCGCCGCGGUCGAACUUUCCCUCUUGAUUAAAGUGCGGCUGCGUGUGAGAGCCUCAAACAGAAAUGCUCACUGCGGCGCACUGGCGGCGGGGAGGGAGAGCUGGCGAGAAGCGACUGCACCGUGGGACACGUGCGUACUCCUCGACCACUCCACCGUGGGACACGUCCGUCUCCUCGACCACUCUCCCCGUGAGACACGUCCGUCUCCUCGACCACUCAGCCCGUGAGACACGUGCGUCUCCUCGAGCACUCAGCCCGUGAGACACGUCCGUCUCCUCGACCACUCUCCCCGUGAGACACCUGCGUCUCCUCGACCACUCUCCCCGUGAGACACCUGCGUCUCCUCGACCACUCUCCCCGCGAGACACGUCCGUCUCCUCCAUGAGUCUCAAGACUCUUUUUCAGGAAGAUCCUGCCCAAGUGAUUAAUUCCCCAGUCGAUGUUUUUCCGAGAUGCUGCCAACCUGGGUUGGAGUAAGGAAUUGUCACUAGGGUAAGAUAUUCGCCUUUGUAGAACCAUCCUAUACUAUUGUUAACGUAUCGAGGCGAUCUUAGAGCACCGUGAACAGGUUUAUAAAUAUUAGAUGCCGUAUCACAAGGAUACCACGAGGCGAGGGUUGGAUGUGUCGGGCCAAAAUAAUUCCCGGGAACAGCGGUCCCGACUCCUCCAGCUGAAAUGAGACCCCGAUUGCCAAUGUCCAAAUCCUCUUUCCCGAGUGUGUGGAGAAACCCCCGCCGUGCCCACGAAGGGGGACAGCAAUCCAGAGGUCCACACAGAUGGGUUCACACGCCCACUCGCCUCGCCUUCAUCUCCCGACCGCCUCUCAGCGCAGCGAGGAAUUUGGAAUUUGUCGCAGAUCUGCGAUCGGCCGAUCCUCGCGUGCACGGCGCCGAAUCGCAGCCGCCGUUGCGUCACCGAAUCUCGCGGCUCAACUGGAAUCCGUCAUUAACGAAGCCUCGAAAUUAAAAUUAAACCUAAUUACAUUC